GGGGCCGACUUGGUUUUGACAGCAUGAUGUGUGGGGUUGUAAGCAUGCGGGGAUUGACUACUCCUGCAAAAAAGGGUCAACAACAAUUAAAUGGCGAAAAUAAUUUUGCUCUCGCUGCCUAAUACGAUUUAGUCGAUUAGCUUAAUCGCUGGCUCAAGGAGCUGCGACGAGACAUCUCACGGAGGUUUUUCCUCUUGCCGUCCGAGCAUGGGGUGCAGGAAGUUGAGGAUAGUAUAGCGUUUGCUCCGAAUGUUAUGCGAAAAUUUAGGAGCUAAGGCUGAUAUUGGAUGCCACUCUCCGGUAGCUGCCCUACAAUCAACGAAUGGCUAAGCAUGUAGAAAGCAAUCUGGCCGCUUGUCUGGACGCGGGUUCGACUCCCGCCGGCUCCACUA
rnacentral:tmRNA from 1 species